rnacentral:rRNA from 1 species
CCUACGGGUGGCAGCAGUGGGGAAUAUUGGGCAAUGGAGGCAACUCUUACCCAGCAAUGCCGCGUGAAUGAAGAAGGUCUUCGGAUGGUAAAGGUCUUUAAUUGGGGACGAAAAAAAUGACGGUACCCAAGGAAUAAGCCACGGCUAACGACGGGCCAGCAGCCGCGGUAAUACGUAGGGGGCAAGCGUUGUUCGGAAUGACUGGGCGUAAAGGGUGUGUAGGCGGUGGAGCAAGUUAGAAGUGAAAUACCUAGAGCUUAACUCAGGUGCUGCUUCUAAAACUGCUAUACUUGAGUGCAGUAGAGGACAGUGGAAUUCCUCGUGUCGCGGUUUAAUGCGUAGAUCUUAGGAGGAACAUCAGUGGCGACGGCGACUUUCUUGACUGUACCUGACGCUGAGGCACGAACGUGUGGGGAGCACACAGGAUUAGCUACCCCAGUAGUC